ensembl:lncRNA
CAGAAAAAGAACUCUGGGAGAUGACUAAAAACCAUUACAUUGAAUUCCCAAUCCCUAUAUUUAUGCACACCUGCAUUUUUGAUUUCCUUCACAAGCUAAUUGUACAAUAUUUCAGAGUCUGAUUCUUUUUCUACAGCAAAAUAAUGUUUUGGUCAGGUAUACUUAUUGUGUAUCUAAUUUAUAUUUUAAUAUAUUUAGCAUCUAUUGGUCAUCCUGCCAUCUAGGGGAGGGGGGGGGGGGGUAAGAGGUGAAAAAUUGGAACAAGAGGUUUGGCAAUUGUUAAUGCUGUAAAGUUACCCAUGUAUAUAUCCUGUAAAUAAAAGGCUAUUAAAUAAAAAAAAAUAACAAAUAAAAAAAUAAACUGGGAAAACAUUUUUACAUUCAAGAAUUCUGAUAAAGGCCACAUUUCUAAAAUGUAUAAAGAACUGACUCAAAUUUAUAAGAAUUCAAGCCAUUCUCCAAUUGACAAAUGGUCAAAGGAUAUGAACAGAUAAUUUUCAGAUGAAGAAAUUGAAACCAUUUCUAGACAUAUGAAAAAGUACUCUAAAUCACUAUUGAUAAGAGAAAUGCAAAUUAAGACAACUUUGAGAUACCACUACACACCUCUCAGAUUGGCUAAGAUGAUAAGAAAAGAUAAUGACUUAUUUUUGGGAGAAAUGUGGGAAAACUGGGACACUGAUUCAUUGUUGGAGUUGUAAACUGAUCAAGAGAGCAAUUUGGAACUAUACCCAAAGGGUUAUCAAAAUGUGCAUACUCUUUGACCCAGAAGUGUUUCUACUGGGCUUAUAUCUCAAAAAGAUCCUAAAGAAGGGAAAGGGACCCACAAGUACAAAAAUGUCGCAGCCCUUUUUGUAGUGGCAAGAAACUGGAAACUGAGUGGAUGCCCUGUAACAGUUGGAGAAUGGCUGAAUAAGUUAUGGUAUAUGAAUAUUAUGGAAUAUUAUUCUGUAAGAAAUGACCAACAGGAUGAUUUCAGAGAGGCCUAGAGAAACUUACAUGAACUGAUGCUGAGUGAAAUGAGUAGAACCAGGAAAUCAUUGUACAUGGUAACAAAAUUAUACAUGAUCAAUUCUGAUGGACGUGGCUCUUUGUAACAAUAAGAUAACUGAGCCAGUUCCAAUGAUCUUGUGAUGAUGAGAGCCAUCUACAACCAGAGAGGACUGUGGCAACUGACUGUGGAUCAUAACAUAACAUUUUUACAUUUUUCAUUGUUUGCUCACAUUUAAUUUUUUUCUCAUUUUUCCCUUUUUGAUCUGACUUUUCUCAUGCAGCAAAAUAAUUGUAUAAAUAUGUAUCCAUAUAUUGAAUUUAUCAUUUACUUUUACCAUGUUUAAUAUAUAUUGGAUUACUUGCCACCUAGGGGAGCGAGUGGGGGAAAGGAGAAAAAAUUAAAACACAAAGGCAAGGGUUAAUGUUGAAAAAUUAUCCAUCUAUAUGUUUUGAAAAUAAAAAGCUUUAAUAAAAAAAUUACUUCAUUUAUCCUUACAACAAUGCUGAGUUAGAUUAUUAUUAGAUGACAUUUUACAGAUGAGAAAACUGAGGCAGAUAGAGAUUAAAUAACUUGCCCAGGACCACAGCUAAUAUGGC